GAUGAACGCUAGCUACAGGCUUAACACAUGCAAGUCGAGGGGAAACGGCAUUAAGUGCUUGCACUUUUUGGACGUCGACCGGCGCACGGGUGAGUAACGCGUAUCCAACCUUCCCAUGACUAAGGGAUAACCUGCCGAAAGGCAGACUAAUACCUUAUGGUCUUCACUGACGGCAUCAGAUGUGAAGUAAAGAUUUAUCGGUUAUGGAUGGGGAUGCGUCUGAUUAGCUUGUUGGCGGGGUAACGGCCCACCAAGGCAACGAUCAGUAGGGGUUCUGAGAGGAAGGUCCCCCACAUUGGAACUGGGACACGGUCCAAACUCCUACGGGAGGCAGCAGUGAGGAAUAUUGGUCAAUGGGCGAGAGCCUGAACCAGCCAAGUAGCGUGCAGGAUGACGGCCCUAUGGGUUGUAAACUGCUUUUGUAUGGGGAUAAAGUCAAUCACGUGUGAUUGUUUGCAGGUACCAUACGAAUAAGGACCGGCUAAUUCCGUG
rnacentral:rRNA from 1 species